rnacentral:lncRNA from 1 species
AAAUCCUCCACAUCUUGGCAGCAGACAUAAGGAAAAUAGAUUUGUUUGGUUUAACCAUGCAGUUAAAUGUAGCAGGCUGGUUCCCCUUUGCUCUUUGUUUCUCCAUUGGCUCGGAGUGGGGAAAUUCCUAAUCUCAACACUCAGAGCUGCCUCUUUGCCAAGACUCAUCUUGCCUACAUGGCUUUUGUCAGGGCUGUGACUGGGAGAGGGAAGCCUGGCAGGUAUUUUUCUAAGACUGUAGCAAUCCAUUGCUGGUGUCCAAGGAUCUGCUGCAGAGCUGCUGCUUCAGGGAUCUGUUUGGUUGCAGUUAGCUGUGCUGUGCCCUGCAUCAGCCUCCAGAGAGCCUGUGUCACAGGACAGGAGACCUUUCAGCUGGAGAAGUCAGCCACUGUUCAAGCUUGA